UGGGGAAUAUUGGACAAUGGGCGCAAGCCUGAUCCAGCCAUGCCGCGUGAGUGAUGAAGGCCUUAGGGUUGUAAAGCUCUUUCGCCGGUGAAGGUAAUGACGGUAACCGGGGAAGAAGCCCCCGGCUAACUUCGUGCCAGCAGCCGCGGUAAUACGAAGGGGGGCUAGCGUUGCUCGGAAUCACUGGGCGUAAAGCGCACGUAGGCGGAUCGUUAAGUCAGGGGUGAAAUCCUGGGGCUCAACCUCAGAACUGCCCUUGAUACUGGCGAUCUCGAGUUCGAGAGAGGUUGGUGGAACUCCGAGUGUAGAGGUGAAAUUCGUAGAUAUUCGGAAGAACACCAGUGGCGAAGGCGGCCAACUGGCUCGAUACUGACGCUGAGGUGCGAAAGCGUGGGGAGCAAAACAGGAUUAGAUACCCUGGUAGUCCACGCCGUAAAACGAUGGAUGCUAGCCGUUGGGGANCUUGCUCUUCAGUGGCGCAGCUAACGCCUUAAGCAUCCCGCCUGGGGAGUACGGUCGCAGGAUUAAAACUUAAAUGAAUUGACGGGGUCAUAGCUGUUUCCU
rnacentral:rRNA from 1 species